UCACUUUCACCAUAAUGACAGUAUAAAUAGACUUCCUAUAAACAAAACAUUGGUCUUGAUAACGUAGAACAAUUCUUUUCCAUUACGGUUUGAUCGGCGACAAGUUGUGUCAUUUCGACGUUUUUUCUCACAGAUAAUCGCGCAAGCCUUGGGUCACAUAAAGAAUUUGGAUUUCAAAAGGAAUCAUGGCUCAGUUUUCUCGCAUUCUUGCUGCCACCGUGCUUCUUAUGUUUGGUAAGUGUUACAGUUUUUU